rnacentral:piRNA from 1 species
GAAGACGGUGAGACUUUGUGUUCUU